rnacentral:rRNA from 1 species
UACGGAGGAUCCAAGCGUUAUCCGGAAUCAUUGGGUUUAAAGGGUCCGUAGGCGGUUUUGUAAGUCAGUGGUGAAAGCCCAUCGCUCAACGGUGGAACGGCCAUUGAUACUGCAAGACUUGAAUUACUAGGAAGUAACUAAAAUAUGUAGUGUAGCGGUGAAAUGCUUAGAUAUUACAUGGAAUUCCAAUUGCGAAGGCAGGUUACUACUAGUGGAUUGACGCUGAUGGACGAAAGCGUGGGGAGCGAACAGG